rfam:Caenorhabditis brenneri strain PB2801 C_brenneri-6.0.1_Cont399.1, whole genome shotgun sequence.
ACACGGGUGGCCGAGUGGUGGAAGGCAUGGGUGUAGACCCAUCGGGCUAGACCCUAAGCAGGUUCGAAUCCUGUCCCGUAGUG